rnacentral:lncRNA from 1 species
GAGGGUUUGUUGUUCGUACAAGAACAAGAUUGAUGAUAAGGUCUUGUUCGUUAACCGUGUUAGUUUUCUGGGUCAAAACCGAAGUGCAAAUCUGAGAAAAGCUCAGCUUCGAUUUUGCACCAAAGCUUCUGUUCAAUCUCAACCUCUCCCAUCCGACAGAGAUUCGGGUCCUUUAUCUUCUGCCAGACCCAAAUCGGUAAUUUUCUUCUUCUUUUCUUUACUUUUUAUUUAAAUUAAAAAAAAAAUUCUAGCAAUACUUUGCAGAGCUUGAUGUGUGUAUAUAUAUAUAUAUAUAUCUGAGAAAAGUAUAUCAAAUUUCAUUUUGUCCUAUGAAUUUAAUUUUGUUUGAUUUUGGUGCUUGCUUGUGUUUUUAAUAGAAAAUUUUCAGAUGUGUCUCCUGUAUGGCGAAUAUAUGUUUUAUGUAUAAGUGGGUACCGUAACCCAAAUUUAUUAACCUCUACUUCGGUUUAGCUUAAUCUUGAGGUAACUCCAGGUUCCAUGCUUUAUAAAUCAUAUUAUUUUAGCUAGUAUUGGAUUGGGUUACAUUGAUCUUUAACCAAAAUCGUCAGUAAACAUGUCCUAAAGUAAAAUUAAUUAUUAUGAAUAAGACAUAAAACAGAAAUUACAAUUACAGUUGUGAUGACCUCAGACUCUGAACUCAUAAAAAACUGAUUAUCGCUUGUUGGAAGUUAUGCAAACAAUAGGGGAACGAAUCAACGAAAGGAUUGCAAUAUAUAAAACGAGUAAUUUAUUCGUCAAAUUCUGUUAAACUCUUAGGACACUCUUUCAUAGAUUCUGUUUGAUUGAUUUUAACAGUAGUUCUUGUGUCGUUGCAGCUUGAUGCUGUAAGAUUAUUCGUUGGGCUUCCCUUGGAUACAGUUUCUGAUGCCAAUACAGUGAACCAUGCAAAAGCUAUUGCAGCUGGACUUAAAGCUUUGAAGCUGUUGGGAGUGGAAGGCGUUGAGCUACCAGUUUGGUGGGGAGUAGCAGAGAAGGAAGCCAUGGGAAAGUACAAUUGGUCUGGCUACCUUGCUGUUGCAGAGAUGGUUGAAAAAAUAGGUCUCAAGCUUCAUGUGUCACUCUGCUUCCAUGCUUUGAAACAGCCAAAAAUUCCACUCCCCGAUUGGGUCUCCCAAAUUGGUGAGUCCCAAUCAAGCAUCUUUUACACAGAUCAGUCAGGGCAGCAAUUCAAAGGUUGCCUAUCAUUGGCUGUUGAUGAUCUUCCAGUUCUUCAUGGGAAAACUCCAAUUCAAGUGUACCAAGAAUUUUGCGAGAGCUUUAAGUCUUCGUUCAAGCCUUUCAUGGGCACGACAAUUACUGUAAGAAGUUUCGAUUUCAAGCAGUGUCGAGUACAUACUAUCUUAGAUUUGCAUCUUUUACGGGAUACUGACGUUGUUUCUACUUUGCAAUUUGAUUCAUUGCAGGGCAUCUCGAUGGGUCUAGGACCAGAUGGUGAACUUCGGUAUCCAUCUCACCACCGACUAGCCAAAAGUAGCAAAAUCCCUGGAGUUGGAGAAUUCCAGUGUUGUGACAG